AGUGAAGAGCCCAAGCCACGCCCCCAAGAGGGAGGGGCGAGCCCAAGCCACGCCUCCACCGGAAAAGAAAGUGAAAGAGCUCAAGCCCCGCCCCCUGACGAGGGCGGACCGCUGACGCAGCAACUCUAGCAGCGCCUCCUUCCCCCGACUAGGCCUCAGGCCUUGGAAACCGAGGUUGGAUCAGCAUCUGGAGAAAGAGGAAGCACAUAAGAAAAUCCCAAUGUCAACAAUAAACUAUUCCAAGCUUUCGGCACAUAAAAGGUGGCCUCGUAAUGCCGGGACAAACCCAUGAAGCUCAAUGAUGCGGUGAUAAGAGAUAGACAAAGAGAUAGAUACUCUUGACUGGCAAAGGGGAAAUCGAUGGCGCCGAGGGACGCUGGAUCAAUGGCGCCGUUGUUUUGUGCAAGAGGUAGCAAUCGACACCGCCGUGAGAGUGGAUUAAUCAGGACAAGCUGGUUUGUUUACCAAGCCACUCCAGACGGAAGACACCAUUUGAUCCCUCCCGACAGAUGGCCAUUCAUGAUUACCAGGAUGCAUGGGAAGGUUGAUGGCAACACCGGAUAUGGCAAGACCUG